rnacentral:rRNA from 1 species
AUACGUAGAUGACAAGCGUUAUCCGGAUUUACUGGGCGUAAAGGGCGUGUAGGCGGUCUUGCAAGUUAGAAGUGAAAUUCCUGAGCUCAACUCGGGCGCUGCUUCUGAAACUGCAGGACUUGAGUGCUGGAGGGGAUAGCGGAAUUCCUAGUGGAGCGGUAAAAUGCGCAGAUAUUAGGAAGAACACCGGUGGCGAAGGCGGCUAUCUGGACAGUAACUGACGCUGAGGCGCGAAAGCGUGGGGAGCAAACAGGAUUAGAUACCCUGGCAGUCCACGCCGUAAACGAUGAAUACUAGGUGUAGGGGGUAUCGACUCCCUCUGUGCCGCAGUUAACACAAUAAGUAUUCCGCCUGGGGAGUACGGCCGCAAGGUUGAAACUCAAAUGAAUUGACGGGG